CUUCGGAAUGCUAAGAUGUUCGCUUGAUGUGUGUGUUGCACUGAGGACCCUCGUGAUUACCCUGGUCCCACCUGGAUAAUUCAGCAUGCUCUCCCAUCUCGAGGUUAACGUAAGAAACAUCACCAGUGCCACGGGAGCCCCCUUUGUGCCCUGAUCACAUCUCCGUGACCUCUGACCUGAAAUUUUUCUUGCUUUCCAGGCAAUGUUGCUGUGACUUUUCUACUGCAAGUGCGCUGGCGCAAACAGGAAGGAGUUGCGUUAUGCACAGCUUCAGCUUUACCAGGUCGUGCCGGCUGCUCUCUACAAGCUGCCAUCUUGGUGAUGAUUAGGGAAAGGCACAAUGAAGGUGGCGAGACCACUGGAGGCCCUCCCCGCUCUGCAGGAAAACAAUCGCAAACCCACGUGGAUCGAGAGUCAAAGGAUGGACAGAGAGACAAACUCACACUGCAGGACAGAGGCCUGAGCAUGCAGGUGACAGCUUCACAGUUAAACUUUAACUGAGUUCACUGAACUAAGCUUUAGCCAAUUUCCCAGGAUUUGAAGCAACAGAACACAUCACCAAGGCAAAGACCGAGGGUUUUGACCCCACAGAGAUAGUCUAACCUCCCGCGUGGACAGCAUCUUGGGAAGGCUCCGUGCCGCUCACACGGGAGAGGAGCCACACGUGUAGACAGGGGCAAUGUCUACGAUACGUUCACUGAGAAAAGCAAGCUAAGAACAAUGUGUGUGUGGGACCCUCAUUUUAACAAAAUAGGGAAAUUAGAGCGCUCUGUACAGGUGCGCAAUAAUAGUUCACGUUUACUGAGCAGUUACUGUAGGCCCGCACUGGGCCAAGUGCUCUCUUGAUGGGUACUGACGCCCUGGAUCUUUCGCUGUCAUUGUCACUUCCUUGGACAGAUGGGCGAGGAACUUGCCAAAAGGGAUCUGACUGUAUCUCUUAACCAGCUCUCAAAGCUGUCCCUCCCGUACGCAGGGGACCAGGUGGGUAAAUCUGUGGCUGGUCUCAGGAGCCCCAGGAGGAAUGAGCUCCGGGCGCCAAGCCCUUCCUCAUGCGGGUCAGUGGGAUUGGCGGCCACCUGACCCACUGGGGCAGUCCUGACCAAGGUCGGCUGGCAAAGAGGAUGCCUGUGCCUCAAAAGAGGGUACUCACUCAAUGGAAAAAGGGAAGUGGACAGGUGACCCAAGCUCAGAGCCAGAGGCCAGGCAUUGGGAUGGGGGCAGACGCCACGUGGGGCUUGCUGCUGGUCCCACCCCUCUGGCAUCAUUUCCGCUUCAGGGAGCAAGGACUGAGCUCGUAGUAUGAACGAGAGGGCUAUACCCUCGGGGUCCACGGGCAGGCAGGGCAGGGCCUUGUGGUGGUGAGACUGGC
rnacentral:lncRNA from 1 species